AGACUUUGAUCCUGGCUCAGAUUGAACGCUGGCGGAAUGCUUUACACAUGCAAGUCGAACGGCAGCACGGGUGCUUGCACCUGGUGGCGAGUGGCGAACGGGUGAGUAAUAUAUAGUUAAUGUACCCCAAAGACUGGGAUAGCCACUGGAAACGGUGAUUAAUACUAGAUACACCUCUUUAACAUAAGUUAGAGAGGGAAAUGUCUUUUCGCUUUGGGAUCAGACUAUAUCCUAUCAGUUAGUUGGUGAGGUAAUGGCUCACCAAGGCAAUGACGGGUAGCGGGUUUGAGAGGAUGAUCCGCCACACUGGUACUGAGACACGGACCAGACUCCUACGGGAGGCAGCAGUGAGGAAUAUUGCACAAUGGAGGAAACUCUGAUGCAGCAACGCCGCGUGGAGGAUGACGCAUUUCGGUGUGUAAACUCCUUUUAUAUGUCAAGAAAAUGACGGUAGCAUAUGAAUAAGCACCGGCUAACUCCGUGCCAGCAGCCGCGGUAAUACGGAGGGUGCAAGCGUUACUCGGAAUCACUGGGCGUAAAGGACGCGUAGGCGGGUUGUCAAGUCAGGUGUGAAAUCCUACAGCUUAACUGUAGAACUGCACUUGAAACUGGCAACCUAGAGUAUGGGA
rnacentral:rRNA from 1 species